UGGUGACCUGAGGUUCCCUGGCUGUCACUCUGUCCCAGCCCCUCCUGGCCCGUGGGGCACAGGCUGAGUCACAGUAAAGUCUGUGGGGUCCUGACCC
rfam:Canis lupus familiaris chromosome 13, whole genome shotgun sequence.